CAGCCGCCGCGGUAAUACGGAGGGUGCAAGCGUUAAUCGGAAUUACUGGGCGUAAAGCGCACGCAGGCGGUCUGUCAAGUCGGAUGUGAAAUCCCCGGGCUCAACCUGGGAACUGCAUUCGAAACUGGCAGGCUAGAGUCUUGUAGAGGGGGGUAGAAUUCCAGGUGUAGCGGUGAAAUGCGUAGAGAUCUGGAGGAAUACCGGUGGCGAAGGCGGCCCCCUGGACAAAGACUGACGCUCAGGUGCGAAAGCGUGGGGAGCAAACAGGAUUAGAUACCCGAGUAGUCCCUGUCUCUUAUAC
rnacentral:rRNA from 1 species